rnacentral:rRNA from 1 species
ACAUAGUAAAAAAACCUCUUUAAAAGAAAGAGGGUCUGAACUUGGAAGCUAAGCAGGGUCGGGCCUGGUUAGUACUUGGAUGGGAGACCACCUAAGAAGACCAGGUACUGUAGGUG